GGAGGCAUGGCUCAGCUGGUAGAGCACCUGCUCCACACGCAGGGGGUCAGGGGUUCGAGUCCCUUUGCCUCCACCA
rnacentral:tRNA from 1 species